UCAACCCAAGAAUACCUUCUUUCUUCACCAAAUGAGCAUCAACCUCAGAUUUCUUCAGAUGAAGAGCUUCGUCUAUAAUAUGAGAUCUGAGAAUCUCCUCAAAUCCACUAAAAGGUACUUUGUCAGAUACAGGUAUACCCAAAAGAUGGUCAUACUCCUUUAACGUAGGUGUCGCAUCUCGAAAAAUGCGAUUCCUCGCGAUGGUCGCGGAAAAAAUUAUGUUCGAACAGAGUCGCCACCGAACUUUAUUUAUCCCAAUAAAGGGAUAGGGAAAUAUCAAUAAAACCUUUAGGAAAUAGAAUAGUGGUCGUCGCAACCAUAUUCGAGUUCGGGAGUGGAUUACGUAAGGGGAAGGUAUUAGCACCCCUUACGUCCGUUGUACUCAACGGGAACCUUUUAGUUCUAAUGUGCGUUUCGUGUGUUAAUUUAUGUUUGUUUGUUUUCUUUGGGUUAUAAAAUAUUGAAAAAUGGAAAUGGAUGUGAACCUCAGAAAGGGAAAGGAGAGGUUUUUUAUUAGUGUGCUCGCGAAGAUACAACAAUCUCCUGCCUACGUAUCCUUAUGGUAUAAUAAGGAAAUCAGAGCAUUCGUAGUUCGGGGAACUAUGGUUGGUUGGUGUCUUUUAAUGAACGACUAUUUAGAUCGCAUUCUAAAGGCUAAACGUCGGUUUGUCUACUCUCG
rnacentral:lncRNA from 1 species